CCCACCUGGGCCGGGCGCUGCGGGACCCGGUGACCGAUCAGCUCUAUCCUGAGCCCCUGCGGAGCCUGGAGGUGCCGGCGCAGGCCCUGCCCGUCAGCACCAUCGAUGUCCUGGGCAGGGGGCAGCAGGCGCUGGAGGAGGUGGAUGCGGAGCUGGGCCUGGCCUUCGACCCUUAGGACGUGCAGUUCUACACCCAGCUCUUCCUCGCUGCCGGUUGCAACCCCACCACUGUGGAGUGGUUUGACCUGGCGCAGUCCAACAGCGAGCACAGCUGGCACUGGUUCUUCAAGGGGCGGCUGGUGGUGGACGGGCAUGUGGAGCUGCAGUCGCUCAUGCAGCGCAUCGCGAGCACGCAGCGCUCCAGCAACGGCAACAAGGUCAUCCA